GAUGAACGCUGGCGGCGUGCCUAAUACAUGCAAGUAGAACGCUGAAGCUCGGUGCUUGCACCGAGCGGAUGAGUUGCGAACGGGUGAGUAACGCGUAGGUAACCUGCCUCUUAGCGGGGGAUAACUAUUGGAAACGAUAGCUAAUACCGCAUAAAAGACGAUAUCGCAUGAUGUUGACUUGAAAGGUGCAAUUGCAUCACUAAGAGAUGGACCUGCGUUGUAUUAGCUAGUUGGUGAGGUAACGGCUCACCAAGGCAACGAUACAUAGCCGACCUGAGAGGGUGAUCGGCCACACUGGGACUGAGACACGGCCCAGACUCCUACGGGAGGCAGCAGUAGGGAAUCUUCGGCAAUGGGGGCAACCCUGACCGAGCAACGCCGCGUGAGUGAAGAAGGUUUUCGGAUCGUAAAGCUCUGUUGUAAGAGAAGAACGAGUGUGAGAGUGGAAAGUUCACACUGUGACGGUAACUUACCAGAAAGGGACGGCUAACUACGUGCCUGCAGCCGCGGUAAUACGUAGGUCCCGAGCGUUAUCCGGAUUUAUUGGGCGUAAAGCGAGCGCAGGCGGUUAGAUAAGUCUGAAGUUAAAGGCUGUGGCUUAACCAUAGUACGCUUUGGAAACUGUUUAACUUGAGUGCAGAAGGGGAGAGUGGAAUUCCAUGUGUAGCGGUGAAAUGCGUAGAUAUAUGGAGGAACACCGGUGGCGAAAGCGGGCUCUCUGGUCUGUAACUGACGCUGAGGCUCGAAAGCGUGGGGAGCAAACAGGAUUAGUAUACUCUUGUAGUCCAAGGGCGAAUUCCACAGUGGGAUAUCAAGCUUAUCGAUACCGUCGACCUCGAGGGGAAGAAUAAAAACACAAACUUUUGUCCCUUAAGUGGGGUUAAUUA
rnacentral:rRNA from 1 species